rnacentral:rRNA from 1 species
AUUGAACGCUGGCGGCAGGCCUAACACAUGCAAGUCGAGCGAGCGGCGGACGGGUGUGUAAUGUCUCGGAAACUGCCUGAUGUAGGGGGAUAACUCCUGGAAACGGUAUCUAAUACCGCAUACCAUCAGAUGUGCCCAGAUGGGAGUAGCUAGUAGGGGGGGUAACGGCUCACCUAGGCGACGAUCCCUAGCUGGUCUGAGAGGAUGACCAGCCACACUGGAACUGAGACACGGUCCAGACUCCUACGGGAGGCAGCAGUGGGGAAUAUUGCACAAUGGGCGCAAGCCUGAUGCAGCCAUGCCGCGUGUGUGAAGAAGGCCUUCGGGUUGUAAAGCACUUUCAGCGGGGAGGCGUUACCCGCAGAAGAAGCACCGGCUAACUCCGUGCCAGCCGCCGCGGUAAUUC